rnacentral:lncRNA from 1 species
UUGCUAUGGAAAACAGUACGGAGGUUCCUCAAAACAUUAAAAAUAGAGCUACCAUAUGAUCCAGCAAUUCCACUUCUGGGAAGCUUUGAACUGCCUUGAUGACUCAGUCUUCUAUCUCCAAAGUCCCUUCCUGGCAUCAGCUCCAUGGUAGCAUGAAACGAUAAAAGUUAAUCCUCAUAAGUCACCAUGAACUUAGUCAUCAUAUGGC